AGGUAGUUGGUGAGGUAACGGCUCACCAAGCCUAUGACGGGUAUCUGGUUUGAGAGGAUGAUCAGACACACUGGAACUGAGACACGGUCCAGACUCCUACGGGAGGCAGCAGUGAGGAAUAUUGCACAAUGGAGGAAACUCUGAUGCAGCAACGCCGCGUGGAGGAUGACGCAUUUCGGUGUGUAAACUCCUUUUAAGAGGGAAGAUUAUGACGGUACCUCUUGAAUAAGCACCGGCUAACUCCGUGCCAGCAGCCGCGGUAAUACGGAGGGUGCAAGCGUUACUCGGAAUCACUGGGCGUAAAGGGUGCGUAGGCUGACUUUUAAGUCAGGCGUGAAAUCCAAUGGCUUAACCAUUGAACUGCGCUUGAAACUGGGAGUCUAGAGUUCAGAAGGGGCAGAUGGAAUUAGUGGUGUAGGGGUAAAAUCCGUAGAUAUCACUAGGAAUAUCAAAAGCGAAGGCGAUCUGCUGGGAUGAUACUGACGCUGAGGCACGAAAGCGUGGGGAGCAAACAGGAUUAGAUACCCUGGUAGUCCACGCCCUAAACGAUGAAUGCUAGUCGUCGGGGUACUCGUUACUUCGGUGAUGCACUUAACAGAUUAAGCAUUCCGCCUGGGGAGUACGGUCGCAAGAUUAAAACUCAAAGGAAUAGACGGGGACCCGCACAAGUGGUGGAGCAUGUGGUUUAAUUCGAAGAUACACGAAGAACCUUACCUGGCCUUGACAUGGUAGGAACCCUUAAGAGAUUAGGGGGUGCUAGCUUGCUAGAGCCUACACACAGGUGCUGCACGGCUGUCGUCAGCUCGUGUCGUGAGAUGUUGGGUUAAGUCCCGCAACGAGCGCAACCCUCGUCCUUAGUUGCUAACAGUUUGGCUGAGCACUCUAAGGAGACUGCCUUCGCAAGGAGGAGGAAGGUGAGGACGACGUCAAGUCAUCAUGGCCCUUACGGCCAGGGCUACACACGUGCUACAAUGGGGCGUACAAAGAGCUGCAAUACCGCGAGGUGGAGCCAAUCUCUUAAAGCGUCUCUCAGUUCGGAUUGUUCUCUGCAACUCGAGAACAUGAAGCUGGAAUCACUAGUAAUCGUAGAUCAGCUAUGCUACGGUGAAUACGUUCCCGGGUCU
rnacentral:rRNA from 1 species